rnacentral:rRNA from 1 species
GUGCCAGCAGCCGCGGUAACACGGAAGCCCCGAGCGUGUUUCGGAUUCAUUGGGCGUAAAGGGUGCGUAGGCGGCGCGGAAAGUCCGGCGUGAAAGGCAGAGGCUCAACCUCUGGACUGCGUUGGAUACUUCCGUGCUUGAGGACUGGAGGGGAGACUGGAAUUCACGGUGUAGCAGUGAAAUGCGUAGAUAUCGUGAGGAAGACCGGUGGCGAAGGCGAGUCUCUGGACAGAUCCUGACGCUGAGGCACGAAGGCUGGGGGAGCGAACAGGAUUAGAUACCCUGGUAGUCCCAGCAGUAAACGAUGUGAGCUUGAUGUGGGGGGAUUCGACCCCCUCCGUGUCGAAGCUAACGCGAUAAGCUCACCGCCUGAGGAGUACGGCCGCAAGGCUAAAACUCAAAGAAAUUGACGGGGACCCGCACAAGCGGUGGAGUAUGUGGCUUAAUUCGAUGCAACGCGAAGAACCUUACCUGGCCUUGACAUGCAUUGUGUCGUCGGUGAAAGCCGGCUAGUCCUGGAAACAGGACGCUUUGCACAGGUGCUGCAUGGCUGUCGUCAGCUCGUGUCGUGAGAUGUUGGGUUAAGUCCCGCAACGAGCGCAACCCUUGUGGUCAGUUACUAACCGGCUUAGCCGGAGGACUCUGGCCAGACUGCCCUGUCAAACGGGGAGGAAGGUGGGGACGACGUCAAGUCAGUAUGGCCCUUAUGGCCAGGGCUGCACACGUACUACAAUGCCCGGUACAAUGUGAACCGAAACCGCGAGGUGGAGGAAAUCGCUCUUGAAAACCGGGCCCAGUUCGGAUUGGAGUCUGCAACUCGACUCCAUGAAGUCGGAAUCGCUAGUAAUGGC